rnacentral:rRNA from 1 species
UACGAAGGGGGCUAGCGUUGCUCGGAAUUACUGGGCGUAAAGGGCGCGUAGGCGGCCUGAUAAGUAGGGGGUGAAAUCUUUCGGCUUAACCGGAAACGUGCCUGGGAUACUGCGCGGCUGGAGGGAGAUAGGGGCGGACGGAACUUCCGGUGGAGCGGUGAAAUGCGUUGAUAUCGGAAGGAACGCCGGUGGCGAAAGCGGUCCGCUGGAUCUCUACUGACGCUGAGGCGCGAAAGCCAGGGGAGCAAACGGG